UAACGAGAGGUUGGGAUCUUCCUAGCAAUAUAACCUUAUGCCGCUGGAAGUCAUGGUGGACUUUGGUCAUCUCUUAAUACAGGCAUUUGGACUGAGUUCUCUCUCCCUGCGCCCCUUGGCACUGCGAGGCUUGUGGGAUUUUUAGUUCCCCGUUAGGGAUCAAACCUGGGCCCUUGGCAGGGAGAGCAUGGAGUCCUACCACUGCACUGCCAGGGAAUUUCCUGAACUGAGUUCUUAUUUGCUGAGGGUUCUGCAAUCCUCAAAGGCAUAAAUCGUCGUGGAAAUCCAGAUGCCUUCAGUCAGGCCAAACAUUAAAGAGAUUGCAAAAAUAAAAAGCAGUUUCCUACCUUGCUAGCUGGGUGACCUUAAGCAGGCUUUGCACCUCUCUGAGCCUCAGAUACCUCAAUUGGAAUGUUAGCUACCUCAAAGGAUUGUGAUGAGGGCUAAACAAAUUAAUGAUACAUGCAAAGAACUUAACAUAAGCCUAGCCCAAAGUCAGUGCUUGAUAUAGAAUACUUGCUCCUGGCCCAGAGCAGUUGAUAUGUAGUACUCCUGCUAUGAGGUGUAUGUGUGUGAUACGUGAGGUGUGGUGGUGACUGGGAUCCCUCACGCUGCCAGGUAUAGGCUCCUGCCAAGAGGUGGCCAGACGGAGAAUCCUCCAGUGUGGAUGGAUGAAGAGGCCAUUUUCCAGAGGGGAUGGCUGGAUGGGGGCCUCAGUGUGCAGUGAGCACAAGGUGGUCCCUCCUCACUGACUCUGAGCCCAGCACUGUGCAGAGGGUUUCCACAUGUGCAGGAGACACAGAAGCCACCCUUGCGUUAUCUGCAUCUCCCCCACCUCCAGCUAGAGGGCUUUUCCCACAUGUCCCAUGUCUGAGAACAGAACGGGGCAUGGCUCGGUGACAUGAGAGAAGCUUCAUUUCUCCUCCAGAGAUGAAGGGGAAAGAUCACGGUGCGGCAGCACCCCUGCAGGUUCACUAAGAGUUCUGCUGAUAAACUCAACCUGGACAUCAUUCAGAAUGCUUAGUGUUAACAUAUAUAUUUGCAUUUUAUAUUCAGGGUGUCUAUAGGAGGAAAAAAGGGUGCUAAGCCUGGAGCAGUGCAAAUGGGAUUUACAUCAAUGUGAUGGAGUAACUGCUGAGGAAUGUCGGCUGGGGUCCAAUCUGUUCCUGGAAUCCAAUCUCAAGCAGGAAUUGUAUGACCCACAUGCUACAUCCACGUGUGUAGAUAGUUAAGUUCAGCUCAGUCACUCAGUCGUGUCUGACUCUUUGCUACCCCAUGGAC
rnacentral:lncRNA from 1 species